rnacentral:lncRNA from 1 species
UCCUGUAACAAGUCAUUAAUAGAAUCUAAGGUAUCCUCUUGCCUGAUAUAUAAGGGUGUUGAAGGAGGUGACCUGCCAUAUAAAAUCUGGAAUGACACCAUACCAACUGAACUGUGAUAGGAAAUAUUCAAAACAUAUUUAGCAAUAGGAAAUAAUGACACCCAAAUAGAAGUAUUUUCAGCAACAAAACACCUUAAGUAGCUGCAAACACC